rnacentral:rRNA from 1 species
AAGACUAAUCGAACCAUCUAGUAGCUGGUUCCCUCCGAAGUUUCCCUCAGGAUAGCUGGAGCUUGUAGUACAGUUUUAUCAGGUAAAGCUAAUGAUUAGAGGAUGUUGAGUUGAAACAACUUGCACCUAUUCUCAAACUUUAAAUAGGUAAGAAGCCGUUUGAUAUAAUCUUGAUUGAUCAUCGGCCUCGAAUGGAAGCUCUUUGUGGGCCAUUUUUGGUAAGCAGAACUGGCGAUGCGGGAUGAACCGGAAGCCGGGUUACGGUGCCCAACUGCGCGCUAACCUAGAACCCACAAAGGGUGUUGGUCGAUUAAGACAGCAGGACGGUGGUCAUGGAAGUCGAAAUCCGCUAAGGAGUGUGUAACAACUCACCUGCCGAAUGAACUAGCCCUGAAAAUGGAUGGCGCUGAAACGGGCCACUUAUACUCCACCACCAGCGCAAGUGUUUAGUGUUGGUGAGUAGGAGGGCGUGAAGGUCGUUGUGCAGCUUGUGCCGUGAGGCAAAGUGAAACGUCCUUUAGUGCAGAUCUUGGUGGUAGUAGCAAAUAUUCAAA